rnacentral:rRNA from 1 species
AUUGAACGCUGGCGGCAUGCCUUACACAUGCAAGUCGAACGGUAACAGGUCUUCGGAUGCUGACGAGUGGCGAACGGGUGAGUAAUGCAUCGGAACGUGCCCAGUAGUGGGGGAUAGCCCGGCGAAAGCCGGAUUAAUACCGCAUACGACCUGAGGGUGAAAGGGGGGGAUCGAAAGACUUCUCGCUAUUGGAGCGGCCGAUGUCAGAGUAGCUAGUUGGUGGGGUGAAGGCCUACCAAGGCCACGAUCUGUAGUUGGUCUGAGAGGACGACCAGCCACACUGGGACUGAGACACGGCCCAGACUCCUACGGGAGGCAGCAGUGGGGAAUUUUGGACAAUGGGCGCAAGCCUGAUCCAGCAAUGCCGCGUGCAGGGAGAAGGCCUUCGGGUUGUAAACCGCUUUUGUCAGGGAAGAAAUCUUCUGGGUUAAUACCUCGGGAGGAUGACGGUACCUGAAGAAUAAGCACCGGCUAACUACGUGCCAGCCGCCGCCGUAAAAC